AUUGAACGCUGGCGGCAGGCCUAACACAUGCAAGUCGAACGGUAACAGGAAACAGCUUGCUGUUUCGCUGACGAGUGGCGGACGGGUGAGUAAUGUCUGGGAAACUGCCUGAUGGAGGGGGAUAACUACUGGAAACGGUAGCUAAUACCGCAUAACGUCGCAAGACCAAAGAGGGGGACCCUCGGGCCUCUUGCCAUCGGAUGUGCCCAGAUGGGAUUAGCUUGUUGGUGGGGUAACGGCUUACCAAGGCGACGAUCCCUAGCUGGUCUGAGAGGAUGACAGGCAAAACGGAAACGAGAACACGUUCCAAACUCCAAGGGAAGGAGGCGGUGGGAAUAUUGCACAAUGGGCGCAAGCCUGAUGCAGCCAUGCCGCGUGUAUGAAGAAGGCCUUCGGGUUGUAAAGUACUUUCAGCGGGGAGGAAGGGAGUAAAGUUAAUACCUUUGCUCAUUGACGUUACCCGCAGAAGAAGCACCGGCUAACUCCGUG
rnacentral:rRNA from 1 species